CCUACGGGGGGCAGCAGUGAGGAAUAUUGGUCAAUGGCCGGAAGGCUGAACCAGCCAAGCCGCGUGAAGGACGAAGGUGCCAAGCAUUGUAAACUUCUUUUGUCAAGGGACAAAAUCAGGCUCGAGAGCCUGACCGAGGGUACUUGAAGAAAAAGCAUCGGCUAACUCCGUGCCAGCAGCCGCGGUAAUACGGAGGAUGCGAGCGUUAUCCGGAUUUAUUGGGUUUAAAGGGUGCGCAGGCGGAAGAUCAAGUCAGCGGUAAAAUUGAGAGGCUCAACCUCUUCGAGCCGUUGAAACUGGUUUUCUUGAGUGAGUGAGAAGUAUGCGGAAUGCGUGGUGUAGCGGUGAAAUGCAUAGAUAUCACGCAGAACUCCGAUUGCGAAGGCAGCAUACCGGCGCUCAACUGACGCUCAUGCACGAAAGUGUGGGUAUCGAACAGGAUUAGAUACCCUUGUAGUC
rnacentral:rRNA from 1 species